GACCCUAACGCGUGACUCUAACCUCUGACCCUAACCCUGACCCUAACCCUGACCCUAACCUGUGACCCCUAACCCUCGCCUAUGCUCCUCACCUGCACCUGCAACGCUGGCCUGCACCCCUAACCCUGCCUCCUACCCUGCACCUGCACCCCUAAUCCUAGCCUGUACUCCUACCCUGCACAUGCACCCCUGGCCUGCGCCCCUAACCUCUGAUCCUCCCAUGCACCUGCACCCCCUAGCCUGUGGCCCUCACCUGCACCUGCACCCCUAACCUGUGCUCCUCACCUGCGCCUGCACCCCUAGCAUGCACCUGCACCCCUAACCUGCAGCCCUGGCCCGUACCUGUGCUGCUGCCCUGCAACCCUAACCCUGACCUGGAUACUGGGCUGUGACCUGUGCCUGGGCCCUGACUGGGUGCCUGGGUCCUGACCUGGACCCUAUGCCUCAGAAACCCUCAGGAAAACCCUAAAUGUUCACCUGGCGGACAGGAGUCCCUGCUUCCCCAGAGCCACGUCGAUCUGCAGAACCUGCUUGUGGCUGAGGAUGCAGAUUGCCACAAAAGGCCUAGGAGUAAAAAUUGGAGCCAGGCCGUGUCCAAGAAGAUUAUCCCAGAGAAAAGCAUCAUAGGAGCAACAAGUGUCCUGGAGCUGCCAGUUGCCAGUCCAUGACUCCAAGGAUGCUGCGGCGCUGCCAAAGGUGAAGAGGCUCAGAGAGCUGCCAGACAAGAUCCUCCAGAAGAAAAGGCAGAGCUACGACAACAGGGAGUCGAAGUAAGUAAUGAACAUGGACUCAAGACUUCUGCUGCUGUAGCUGAAGAAACAGAUUUUAGAAGAAAAGACCAACCUUGUGACUCAUCGUUCUGGAAGAAGCCCACCACAUCCGUUCCUCACGGCAUGUGGAUUGUUCUUCCCACAGGCUCAGUGUCAUUAUCAGAGUUGUUAUUUCGUAGAUCCUUGUAGAUGAUAUUGAAUUUUUAAAUAAUUUACUUAUAUGGACACUUGUAAAUUGUAAAUUCUUUUCUUUUUUAAUUUCAAUAUUUUUACAAUGUUUAGUGUUGAGGCAUGAAAAGAAAACAACCUGCGAAAACUAGAAGGAGGGUGAGUCUUUCUCAAAAAACCAGUAUUUUUUGACUGAGAGGAUCAUACUGUGCCUGGACAAGAUUGUGUCAGUAAACAGUAAUUUUGACUCCAAAAUAUGCAGCAGGAGUCAAACCCUAGCAGUGUACAAGUGAUCAUUUCAAUGCUGUAUUUAGAAUUCACAAUGUCCACUCCUUGCAUUGUUUGAACUGCUGAAUGCAGUAGGGACUGAUCUAUGACUCUUCUUACCCAGAUGUGCAAACACUAAUGUACUCACCUAAUUAUUGCAAUUCAUAUAUGACUUCUCCUUUCCUAAUCUCCUUUGCCCCAAGUCCAUCACAAGUAGCUGUCUGUGAUUUGAAGAGAAGUAGGAAAACUGCUCAAUGGAUGUCGGUCUCUAGGAACCUAGGGCUGUUUAGAUGUCUGUGAUUUGCACAUUUUUAAACUCCUUUCCUCCCUUCUCCCAGGAAGAAGCCAAGCAUGAAUGUACAGUACAAGGCACCAACUGAAGCCUUAGAAGCCUCUGGGGACUAAUUUUUCUCUUAAUUUAAAAGUAAACAAGCAAAACUGAAAAAUGUGUGUAAAAAUUUGUAAAGUUAUUUGUAAAUACUUCUAGACAAAGAACAUGUAUGUAACUGUGGUAUUUUGUUUUCUAUUGUGUCACCACUAGCAUAAAGUGAUACACAAAGCUA